rnacentral:rRNA from 1 species
CAGCCGCCGCGGGAAUACGAAGGGUGCAAGCGUUAAUCGGAAUUACUGGGCGUAAAGCGUGCGUAGGCGGUUUGCUAAGUCUGUUGUGAAAUCCCCGGGCUCAACCUGGGAAUGGCAAUGGAUACUGGCAAGCUAGAGUGUGUCAGAGGAUGGUGGAAUUCCCGGUGUAGCGGUGAAUGCGUAGAGAUCGGGGGGAACAUCAGUGGCGAAGGCGGCCAUCUGGGACAACACUGACGCUGAGGCACGAAAGCGUGGGGAGCAAACAGGAUUAGAUACCCCGGUAGUCCCUGUCUCUUAUACA